rnacentral:rRNA from 1 species
AGAGUUUGAUCCUGGCUCAGGACGAACGCUGGCGGCACGCUUAACACAUGCAAGUAGAACGAGAGAAGAGGAGCUUGCUUUUCUGAUCUAGUGGCGGACGGGUGAGUAACACGUGAGCAAUCUGCCUUUCAGAGGGGGAUACCGAUUGGAAACGAUCGUUAAUACCGCAUAACAUAAUUGAACCGCAUGAUUUGAUUAUCAAAGAUUUAUCGCUGAAAGAUGAGCUCGCGUCUGAUUAGCUAGUUGGUAAGGUAACGGCUUACCAAGGCGACGAUCAGUAGCCGGACUGAGAGGUUGAUCGGCCACAUUGGGACUGAGACACGGCCCAGACUCCUACGGGAGGCAGCAGUGGGGAAUAUUGCACAAUGGAGGAGACUCUGAUGCAGCGAUGCCGCGUGAGGGAAGAAGGUUUUAGGAUUGUAAACCUCUGUCUUCAGGGACGAAAAAAGACGGUACCUGAGGAGGAAGCUCCGGCUAACUACGUGCCAGCAGCCGCGGUAAUACGUAGGGAGCGAGCGUUGUCCGGAAUUACUGGGUGUAAAGGGAGCGUAGGCGGGAUCGCAAGUCAGAUGUGAAAACUAUGGCUUAACCCAUAAACUGCAUUUGAAACUGUGGUUCUUGAGUGAAGUAGAGGUAAGCGGAAUUCCUAGUGUAGCGGUGAAAUGCGUAGAUAUUAGGAGGAACAUCAGUGGCGAAGGCGGCUUACUGGGCUUUAACUGACGCUGAGGCUCGAAAGCGUGGGGAGCAAACAGGAUUAGAUACCCUGGUAGUCCACGCCGUAAACGAUGAUUACUAGGUGUGGGGGGACUGACCCCUUCCGUGCCGCAGCAAACGCAAUAAGUAAUCCACCUGGGGAGUACGACCGCAAGGUUGAAACUCAAAGGAAUUGACGGGGGCCCGCACAAGCAGUGGAGUAUGUGGAUUAAUUCGAAGCAACGCGAAGAACCUUACCAGGUCUUGACAUCGUAUGCAUAGCUCAGAGAUGAGUGAAAUCUCUUCGGAGACAUAUAGACAGGUGGUGCAUGGUUGUCGUCAGCUCGUGUCGUGAGAUGUUGGGUUAAGUCCCGCAACGAGCGCAACCCUUACUGUUAGUUGCUACGCAAGAGCACUCUAGCAGGACUGCCGUUGACAAAACGGAGGAAGGUGGGGAUGACGUCAAAUCAUCAUGCCCCUUAUGACCUGGGCCUCACACGUACUACAAUGGCUGUCAACAGAGGGAAGCAAAGCCGCGAGGUGGAGCGAACCCCUAAAAGCAGUCUUAGUUCGGAUUGUAGGCUGCAACCCGCCUACAUGAAGUCGGAAUUGCUAGUAAUCGCAGAUCAGCAUGCUGCGGUGAAUACGUUCCCGGGCCUUGUACACACCGCCCGUCACGCCAUGGGAGUCGGUAACACCCGAAGCCUGUAGUCUAACCGCAAGGAGGACGCAGUCGAAGGUGGGAUUGAUGACUGGGGUGAAGUCGUAACAAGGUA